rnacentral:lncRNA from 1 species
GGGCCGGGGGUGUUUCGGGUGUCCGAAGGCGAGUCCGAUCGGACCAGGAAGUAGCUCAGGGGAGCCUGACCUCGACCCGCCUUUCUCCUCACACGAGCUGAGGAGGCAGGGAAGUACCGAGGGCAGUCAAGCCUCCCCUGGGGGUGGUUCCUGGGACUAGAUGGAGCUCAGUCUCUGGAUUCUCCCUCUUUCUCGGCCCUAUGCUUCCUGACAGACCUGGCCGCCAAACCCUGUAAUCGCCCUCCUUUAACCCAAGAAAGCAAGUCUUUCUGCCGUUUCUGAGCUGGCUUGAGCCUUAAGACUACCUUAAGGAGACGGAGUCUAACUGCGUUGCCCAGGUUGGAGUCCGGUGGCGUGAUCCUGGCGCACUGCAACCUCCGUUUCCUGGGUUCAAGCGAUUAUCCUGCCCCAGCCUCCCGAGUAGCUAGGAUUACAGGCGUGCACCGCUAUGCUCAGCUAAUUUUUGUAUUUUCAGUAGAGACAAGGUUUCACCAAGUUGGCCAGGCUGGUCUUGAACUCCUAAUCUUAAAUGAUCCGCCCGCAUUGGCCUCCCAAAGAGCUGGGAUUACAGACGGGGUCUUGCUCUGUGGCCCAGGCUGGAGAGCAGUGGUGCGAUCUCGGCUCACUGCAAACUCUGCCUCCCGGGUUCACACCAUUCUCCUGCCUCAGCCUCCCAAAGUGCUGACAGCAUCG